AUUGAACGCUGGCGGCAUGCCUUACACAUGCAAGUCGAACGGUAACGGGCCUUCGGGUGCCGACGAGUGGCGAACGGGUGAGUAAUACAUCGGAACGUGCCCGAUCGUGGGGGAUAACGAGGCGAAAGCUUUGCUAAUACCGCAUACGAUCUACGGAUGACAGCAGGGGACCGCAAGGCCUUGCGCGGACGGAGCGGCCGAUGGCAGAUUAGGUAGUUGGUGGGAUAAAAGCUUACCAAGCCGACGAUCUGUAGCUGGUCUGAGAGGAUGAUCAGCCACACUGAGACUGAGACACGGCCCAGACUCCUACGGGAGGCAGCAGUGGGGAAUUUUGGACAAUGGGCGCAAGCCUGAUCCAGCCAUGCCGCGUGAAGGAUGAAGGCCUUCGGGUUGUAAACUGCUUUUGUACGGAACGAAAAGCCUUCUUUUAAUACAGGAGGGUCAUGACGGUACCGUAAGAAUAAGCACCGGCUAACUACGUG
rnacentral:rRNA from 1 species